ACUCCUACGGGAGGCAGCAGUGGGGAAUAUUGGACAAUGGGCGAAAGCCUGAUCCAGCCAUGCCGCGUGUGUGAAGAAGGUCUUCGGAUUGUAAAGCACUUUAAGUUGGGAGGAAGGGCAUUAACCUAAUACGUUAGUGUUUUGACGUUACCGACAGAAUAAGCACCGGCUAACUCUGUGCCAGCAGCCGCGGUAAUACAGAGGGUGCAAGCGUUAAUCGGAAUUACUGGGCGUAAAAGCGCGCGUAGGUGGUUUGUUAAGUUGGAUGUGAAAUCCCCGGGCUCAACCUGGGAACUGCAUUCAAAACUGACUGACUAGAGUAUGGUAGAGGGUGGUGGAAUUUCCUGUGUAGCGGUGAAAUGCGUAGAUAUAGGAAGGAACACCAGUGGCGAAGGCGACCACCUGGACUAAUACUGACACUGAGGUGCGAAAGCGUGGGGAAGCAAACAGGAUUAGAUACCCUGUAGCACAGAG
rnacentral:rRNA from 1 species